rnacentral:rRNA from 1 species
UGAACGCUGGCGGCAUGCUUUACACAUGCAAGUCGAACGGCAGCGGGGGGCUUCGGCCUGCCGGCGAGUGGCGAACGGGUGAGUAAUGCAUCGGAACGUGCCCAUGUCGUGGGGGAUAACGUAGCGAAAGCUACGCUAAUACCGCAUACGCCCUGAGGGGGAAAGCGGGGGAUUCUUCGGAACCUCGCGCGAUUGGAGCGGCCGAUGUCGGAUUAGCUAGUAGGUGAGGUAAAGGCUCACCUAGGCGACGAUCCGUAGCGGGUCUGAGAGGAUGAUCCGCCACACUGGGACUGAGACACGGCCCAGACUCCUACGGGAGGCAGCAGUGGGGAAUUUUGGACAAUGGGCGCAAGCCUGAUCCAGCCAUGCCGCGUGAGUGAAGAAGGCCUCGGUGUAGAUCUUCGUCCGGGUACGGAAGUACGUAGGUCGUC